GGAAUAUCAUUUGCACUGUGAAAAUCAAAGGCCAUGGGAAACUGAAAAGAAUUUCUGCUUGUAAUUGAAUUAUGGCCUGCUGAAGUAAGUGAAACGAUCUGUUUCAUUGCUCAAAACACGGUAUUAAAAGGUGUUUUAGAAGAUGAAGGAGGAGAAGAAGGAGAAGGAGGAGAAGGAGGAGAAACAGGAGGGGAAGGAGGAGGAGGAGCAGGAGGAGGAGGAGAAGAAACAAAUCCUUAUAUAGCAGCA
rnacentral:lncRNA from 1 species